CCUACGGGGGACAGCAGUGAGGAAUAUUGGUCAAUGGACGAGAGUCUGAACCAGCCAAGUAGCGUGAAGGAUGACUGCCCUAUGGGUUGUAAACUUCUUUUAUAAAGGAAUAAAACGAGGCACGUGUGCCUUUUUGCAUGUACUUUAUGAAUAAGGAUCGGCUAACUCCGUGCCAGCAGCCGCGGUAAUACGGAGGAUCCGAGCGUUAUCCGGAUUUAUUGGGUUUAAAGGGAGCGUAGAUGGGUUGUUAAGUCAGUUGUGAAAGUUUGCGGCUCAACCGUAAAAUUGCAAUUGAUACUGGCAGUCUUGAGUGCAGUUGAGGUAGGCGGAAUGCGUGGUGUAGCGGUGAAAUGCAUAGAUAUCACACAGAACCCCGAUUGCGAAGGCAGCAUACCGGUGCACAACUGACGCUCAGGCACGAAAGCGUGGGUAUCGAACAGGAUUAGAUACCCGGGUAGUC
rnacentral:rRNA from 1 species